GACAGAGCGAGACUCCGUCUCAAAAAAAAAAAAAGUUAUUGUUUUUAUAUUGUUAUUGUCCCUGGGAAUCUUUGCUAUCGGUGUACUGUGUACUUCCUGCCUACCUCUGAGUUUGUAAAGUAGGUAAAAGAGCAGAUGUGAUUGCUAAGAAUAUAGCAUUGACCUCUAUGUAAAAUUUAUAGGUUCUCACACAGAGUGCUGAGGCUUUUGAUCAGCAUCUUUGAAAGUAUUGCUUGUAUACAUUUCAAGUAAAAGAUCAUUCUAAUUAUUUCAUAGUCAUACUUUACAUGAAAGAGCUUUGUAAAUAAUUGGAAAAUCUUUAACAAGCUUUGAUUAAUAAUGCUGGCUUUAAUUUUAACUUCAUAUUAUUGUUUUCCAAAUGAUUUCCAUAAUAGAGACCAUGGUGGAUCUAAGCAUGAGAUUUUAAGUUCCUGCCUUUCAAAGGUGUGGCUAAAAACAAGGAGGAUAGAAAACACUGUGUGCUGUCAUGCCAAGCUCUCUGUGUAGGGACUUUAUCUUCACCAUUGCAUUUCAUCCUCAAAACAGCCCUGCAAGUUGUUGCUACAAGGCCACUGAGCUGACUCACCACCCCGGGAGUCAGUGAAGGCUUCCCCGAGGAAGCAGUGUUUGAGCUGAGCCUUGAAACAGAAGUAAGAAGACUCCAGGAGAAGGCUGCAGUAGAGGCUAGAGCUAUUUUUCCUGGCAACAGACCCAGAGAGAAGCUCAACACUUGGAGUAUGAAAGGAGAGUUGGAAAGAAAUCAACUGUGGAAUAACUGCGUGAGUCAUAGUCCAUGUUCUCCUUCCCUGCAUCACAUGCUCAGGCUAAAACCAGAGGACUAAUAUUUAAAAUAAUUGAAUAGUCUUCGUGAGAAGGAGCCCUAGUUGGGGUGAUGCCUCAUCUGAGUAAACUUCUUCCCACUUUUGCUGGGAAGUGGGAGAAGUAGGGAGGGGGACCUCCAACCUCCUCUUCUUUCACUACAAGGUCUAAAGCAAAGGCUGCCAGUGACAGCCACUUGUGUAGACAAGAGAGAGCUGGACAAGGCCGAGCUAUCUGCAUUGAAUGAGGUGACUUACCUCAGUUGUAGGUAUGAAUCUAUAGCCAAGGAUUAUGAAAACCUGAAGAAAAAUGAGGACAAAAGAGCAGGUUGAGAGAAAAAAUACCCUGACUCUGGAGGAAAUAGAUAAUUCAGGACAUAGAAAAUUCUUUAUUCUAUGUAGUAUCCUCAUGGAAACAAAGUCGAGAGAAAGCAUUUUUAGUGCAAAAUUAGAUUGCUAAGAAAGAACAACUAAAACAAAAUAAAUAGUUAUUAAAAUGAAAAAGUAAUUGUUAAAGUUAGAAAUUCAAGGGAAGACCUGGGAGAAAAAGUUGAAGAAACUGCUCUAAAUGUAGUGCAAAAAGAUAAAGGAUGGAAAAUGUGGGAGAAAAGUGAAGAGAUUAGAGAAGCAUCCAAAGGGAUGUUCAGAAAGAGACAAAACAAAGAAUAAGAGAGAAUUUUCCAUAAGUGAGGAAAUAGGACUUGAGAUUGUAAGAACCCUAGAGAAUGCAAAAUAGGAUGAAUGAACAAACUUAGCCCAAGGCACAUUCUUGUGACAUUUUAGAUAUUGAGAAUAAAGGGAAGAGUCUAAAAGCCAAAAGAAUAGAUUACUCAGUGAGAAUCCAAUUGGUAUUAGAUAGAUCAUCAGCAACUGUAAAUGCUAAGAAAAACAAAACAAGAAGCAUGCCUUCAAAAUGUGUAAAAUAAAGUUUUUUGAACCUAAAAUUCUCUACUUAGCCAAACUAUCAAUCGAUCAAGAGUGAGGCAUUUUCAAGCAUGCAAGAACUCAGACCAUUUACCACCCACAGACUAUUUCUGAAAGAAUUACUGAAGCAAAACAAAAAAGAAUCCAAGUAGGAGGAAGCCAUGGCCUCUAAGGAACAGUGGAUCUCACCCAAGAUUGUAAUGAAAUAUAAUUCCAGGAUGACAACCUUGAGGCAGGCCUAGAAAGCCAUCAGUCUGAAUUAGAACCAGAAGUCAGAUGCUCUGUGAAGAAUCUCUUUCAGGAGGACAUGGAUUUCUUCUAUAAAUUGAAUGACUGAGAAGCUGAGUGGUCUUGUGACAAGGCAAAGGCAUGGUAGGUCAUUGUGAUAAGGUAUCAUCCAAACACUCUCCAAACUGUGAAGUAAUUUUCUUCUUCCAAUAGCAAAGGUUUAUUGACAAGAGUUACGUCUCCUCUAUAGGCUCAAGGGCACAGCUGUGCUUGGUUCUGCAGUGAACAAUGAUCUCCCUACGAAUAUUAUGAAUGCUACUUUUCAGUUUUCAGUUUAAAAAAUCAAUUUAUAGACAAUGCAUCAAAGAUUAAUUGUAGUUAUAGGACAAGUGUGAAAACAAUAGUACACUGGAAUGGAGGUUAGGAGAGAGGGAAGGAGCAAAGGAACAAGAUGUAAUGAUGUUGGAUUCUUUUCAUCAGAAAUAAAAAGAAUUAAGAGAUA
rnacentral:lncRNA from 1 species